AACGAACGCUGGCGGCAGGCUUAACACAUGCAAGUCGAGCGCCCCGCAAGGGGAGCGGCAGACGGGUGAGUAACGCGUGGGAACAUACCCUUUUCUACGGAAUAGCUCUGGGAAACUGGAAUUAAUACCGUAUACGCCCUACGGGGGAAAGAUUUAUCGGGGAAGGAUUGGCCCGCGUUGGAUUAGCUAGUUGGUGGGGUAAAGGCCUACCAAGGCGACGAUCCAUAGCUGGUCUGAGAGGAUGAUCAGCCACACUGGGACUGAGACACGGCCCAAACUCCUACGGGAGGCAGCAGUGGGGAAUAUUGGACAAUGGGCGCAAGCCUGGUCCAGCCAUGCCGCGUGAGUGAUGAAGGCCUUAGGGUUGUAAAGCUCUUUCACCGGUGAAGAUAAUGACGGUAACCGGAGAAGAAGCCCCGGCUAACUUCGUGCCAGCCGCCGCCGUAAUAC
rnacentral:rRNA from 1 species